rnacentral:tRNA from 1 species
UGUUAGCGUGGCAGAACUUGGUUAUGCUAAAGAUCUAAGCCCUUUCCACUAGGGGUUCAAAUCCCCUCGCUAACUU